UACGUAGGGGGCUAGCGUUGUCCGGAAUCAUUGGGCGUAAAGAGCGCGUAGGCGGCCAGAUAAGUCCGGUGUGAAAGUCACAGGCUCAACCUGUGAAUGCCGCUGGAAACUGUCUGGCUAGAGUCCGGGAGGGGCGAGUGGAAUUCCUGGUGUAGCGGUGAAAUGCGCAGAUAUCGGGAGGAACACCAGUAGCGAAGGCGGCUCGCUGGGCCACACCUGACGCUGAGACGCGAAAGCGUGGG
rnacentral:rRNA from 1 species